CAGACAACACGGCUCACUGUUGAUUCUCUCUUUCUCUUCUUUACCGCCUCCUCAUCUCUACCUCUUUCCAUUCUUAGGGAGAAACCCUAGCCUUGAUAUUUACUAUAUGCUUCUCUUCCAUUUUUCUUACGAUUUCCUUUUCUAAAAUUAUAAUUUUGAUCCAUAGAUGAGAAAAGAGAUCCUGCUUUCGUCUUUGGUGGAGAAGAACACCAGAGAUGUUGAGCUUUGUACAGUGCAAUCAUAACGAGGAUCCAAAUGUCAAAGUUAAUUCGUAAGGUGUGGAGAACUUAUAUAUUACUGCCCAUUGAAAGAAUGAUAUAAGGAAAUACAUCACAUCCUAGAGUAUGCCACUACAUGAUUCAUGUUGUAAAUGUCUUCCGAUUGUUCAGAGCUAAUGCUCUUAUCUUUUUGUUGAUGUUAAUGUGUUGGAUACUCCGAUGGCAGGAAAUUUUGCAAGCAAGUGUUUCUCUUUUUAGUGCUAAGGUAUUCGGGUUUAAUUUGUAUGUGAGAAAUGGUCUACUUAUAAAGAAGUUUUUUGUUGAAAAAAAAUAAACAUGUAACUUCUAAAAUGAUAAUUUGUAGUAAAUCAUUUUUAUUUUACAUAUUUCUAAUGAAUGAUCUUCACAUGGGGCAACCCGAGGA